CCCCCCUACGGGGGGCAGCAGUGGGGAAUAUUGCACAAUGGGGGAAACCCUGAUGCAGCGACGCCGCGUGAGUGAAGAAGUAAUUCGUUAUGUAAAGCUCUAUCAGCAGGGAAGAAAAUGACGGUACCUGAGUAAGAAGCCCCGGCUAACUACGUGCCAGCAGCCGCGGUAAUACGUAGGGGGCAAGCGUUAUCCGGAUUUACUGGGUGUAAAGGGAGCGUAGACGGCAAUGCAAGCCAGAUGUGAAAGCCCGGGGCUCAACCCCGGGACUGCAUUUGGAACUGUGUAGCUGGAGUGUCGGAGAG
rnacentral:rRNA from 1 species